AAGAAGGGAUCAUCACUUAGGUUCCCUUCUAGAGCAACAUUGUCAGAGAAUAAUUAAGAUAUUAAAAAACAGUCUUUUCAGGAAAAGUCUAAGAAACCUUCCAGGGUGGUUUUUCCAUUUCUUUCAACUGAUCAAUUAGCCCAAAUAGAAAGCCUCACACAAAGUGAGACAUUUUGUCUUUCAUGACACCUGUGUCGUCUAAGUUGCUCUUUUUGAAAUUCCACAUGCCUGUCAAACCUGCACACUGAUGGUUGACCAAGUUUCCACUCUCACUGCAAAGAGGUAUCUGCGACAUCCUUACAGCUUUAGAAAAUUGUAUUUUACUCUAAAGAGCUACUGUGACACUUGGCAUAGGCACACUAAGGAUCAAGGAAAGCUGAGGUUCUUGACAUUUAAUAUCUGACCUAGGAGGAUUAUCGAGAAGGACUGAGCCACCCCCCCACUGUCAAAAUAUUGAAAUUCUGGCACAAGAAAGAGUGACAUGACUAGGAUUUUUUUUAGGUUCAAAUGAGCACAACUCGGAUGAAGGGUUAGAAGUUACAAGGAGAUGCAUUUCUAGCAAGUGUGAGGGGACCCUUUGUCAGUGGAAGAUGGAAGGAAUGAGCAGCACACGAGAACAUCUCUUGACCAGUAAGCUCACACACCGGGAGGUCAGAAUGGUGAAUCUUUAGCGGCCCCGAGCUGAAAUUCCUGGAUAUGUGGCUGUCACCCUGUACAACGUCACUCCUUUCUCUUCGGUGUGUUUAAUACCCUCUAGUAGACUUGGACCUUGUGUCGGCCUCUGUAUGUUUAGGUAUGUUAAUACAUGGAACGUGCUUAGAAAAGCAUCCACACCUAUGAGCACUCAUUAAAUUUUGGUGAUCUGAGAUGUUAGAAGGUGACGGGAAUCUGAAAAUCUGUCCAAAAUUCUUGCUCAGGUAUGUUCCCAUAUUAGACCUAAUGAAUCAGGGAUUUAGCCAUUCAAAAGCCUAACGUGGUGGCUAGUGAAGGUUGGUCAUAAAGCAAGACCCUCAACGUCACAGGCUUUUGCAGGAAACUACUGGAAAAAGGGCAAGCAAGAAAGUGAAUGCAAGUUUUAUUUUUGUACGGAGCAUCAGUUCCCUUUUGAUUUACAAGAGAAUUCUAUCAUUAGAUUUUUCAAUAAGCUGAAAUCUGAUUUUAUUUACUUGAUUUCGAUUGAGAUCAUCAUUGCAAUGUAUCCAUGCAUUCAGUCUUGGCUGUCCACCAUAUUUCAGGUACCUACAAGAUUCUGGAACUUCAUAUAUAAGUUACAGUACUUGGCUCAUGGACAUGAUUAAGCAAAAUGAAUAAACAGCACUACAAUGUUAUUAAAACAGAGGCCUCAACAAAGUGCAGAGGGCAAUAAAUUCUCCCGGGCCAAUUCAGUUUGGGCGAUAAACGGGUAAAGUAGAGACAUCUGGCCUGAGGGAAGCUUCCAGAAGGAGUUAGGGUGAGUUGAACUUUAAGACGAGAUAAUGUUUUGCCAUGGAGGGAACAGGAGAAGGGCAUUUUAGGGGAUGGUCGAAAGGGAUCCAAAGCUGUGGAAUGUAGCAGUGUCCCGGGUAGACUGAGUUAUCCAGUGGGUUCUCUAGUUGCUACAUGAGGUACGUGGGGACAGUGCGUGGGGAGAUAUCCUGCAAGUUUUAGACUCCAUAUAUACAGGUAUUUUAUUGCUUUCUUAGGGAAGUUUUGACUAUUUACUUAAAUUUAGAGUUUAUACCUCAGGAAAUGGGGAAGCACAGAUUUUAGAGAGCAGAGGAAGCCAUAAAUAGAAAAAUAAAGAUAUCACUUGGUCCCGGCAAGCCAUCAAAGCUUGACUGUGUCUGUGAUAGUGACUCUUCCCACCCCAUCUCUCCCCGCACCCCCCAGGUCCCUUAUUUUCCAAAUUAGAAUCUUUACAUUCUUUGUAAGAAUCCAGGAACUGUUUUCCAUCUUUCAACAAGCUCACGAAAAUGAAGCAUUGCCUGUAAGAUUGAAACCAACGUACUCAUCAAAACAGCAGGACGCUCCUUUUAGUUAUGACUCUUCAGUGAGGACCUUUGGCCACCAAGACCUUUGGGAAGGUCUUCCUUUCGAGAGCAUACAUAGCCCAGGAGUUAUACAUAUGGGUUCAAAUUUAAGCGCCGGCUCUGUCACUUAUGAGCUAUGUGAUGUUGGCCAGCUGAUUUAGCCUCCCGAAGCCUUACUUUCUUUGGUGAACUAAUAGGACACCUUGUAUGUCUAUACCUCUUAUGUAUGUAUAGAGUGUGUCCUACCUACAGAAAUUAAGAAUGCUGCCUAGUACAUCACGACCUCUUAUGUGUCCAUCAGCAUCAUCGGUCACUACUGGUGAAGAAAGCACAGGACAAGAUUUUUGCUCUUUGGGGUCUCUACCAAAGGUCUCUGAGGUCUGCUGUUUCUAGCACUUACCAGCCACGCUCUUGGCAAUCCAGCUUGCCCCCGUGUCUGCUGACGGCUUUGUCUGAGUGCCUCUAAGAUCCCAACUGAUCUCCUUUUUGCCCAGUGCCUUGAUGAGUGGCUUUCCUGAGCCUGGCUGCUUGCCUCUGUCUUGCAAAAGCCAGAGGGAAAUAUUCUCAGUGCCUUUCCCCACCCAGCUCAUUAGUCAACUUCAGGACUUCAAAAGACAUGUUCUGUUUCACUUUGCUGUUUUCUAUAUGUGACACGUAUAUAAAUGUGUUCGAUGCACACUUCCUAUGCUUUGGCAUGGCUUUGGGGAGGCCUAAUGGAGACCAAGUGGUUUCAUGCUUUUUAGUCCUUAUUGCUUAAGAGAACUGAUACAAAGGCCAAGCAAAGAGGUGGUAGGUAUGGGUGACAUUUAAUGUUACAAUCACAUGGCAAGUCUGAAAAUGAUCUCAAAGUUAAUGACCCUGAAUGGCCUUUUCAUAUACAAUAAGCCCCUCUUGAAAAUGGCUUAAGAUUUAACUUUCUAGAAUCGUUGACAACUCGUAUCUAACACUGUUCAUUGUACAGUGUUGGGCAAAUAUGAUGUGAUUCUCUUUGGCUAACAGCCCGUGUACUUUACCGUUCACGUACACUUUCCCAAACUUUCAGAACUGGAAACACAUAAAAAAGUCAGGAAAUCUCACCUGAACAAGCUUUCGUGGGCAGACUUCCGGCCAAUAAUCCUUCCUAUUGCAUAGCAAAUACUCUGAAGCUUAGCUUCAUUUAUAGCACUUUGGCUUUCCUACUGUCUUAGUUGUGACUUCCGUUUGGUUGCUAGUGACAGAAAUGAAAAAGUAAAACACAAUAGUGAUUUGAAGAUAUUGGGAAGUUCUUAGGAGUUUGUUUUCCUCUCCUGUAAAAUACUUCUGGUAUGGAUGCUCCUUGAUGCCAUUAAAGACUUAGGGCUCCUCUGUUUUUGUGUUACACGAUGUAUAGGGUGUAACUGUUAACCUCAUGCUCUCAAGAUGACUGCUGGAAUGCCAGCCAUGGUGUCCAUGUUCAGACUCAGAAAAUGAGAUGUCUAAAGGGCCAAUAUAUGUGCUGAAAGCCUAGUUUUUAAGAGAUUUUCUGAAGUCCUUCCCUUUCACUUCUACUCGCUUCCCCUCAGUCCUAAUACUCUCACAUGAUAUCCUUCAGUUGCAAGGGAGGUUGGAUACAUAUUUGAAUGGGUCCAUUUCCUUCUUCAAUAAAAUUAAUGUUUGUCCGUAAGGAGAGAAUGACUAUUUGGUAGGCAAGUAGCCGUCUCUGACACGUCGACCAUCUUAGCUAGGAUUUUUAAUGAUUCUUUGGUUAAAAGUCAUAAGGGGCAAACGGAAAAGUUAAUUAAGCUUCUAAUUGUAAGCAGAUUUAAAAUAUUUUGUAAUAAUAAAGAGCUAAUUAACCAUACUUCAAUCUACAACAAUACAUUUGAGAAGAUGCGUAUUGGCCUUUGGUUUCCACUAUCCCCUGAGCACUUGUAAUCCUGAGCACAUGGGGUCGCAUUGUAUUCAUUUGUUCUCUUACAGUCUUUCAGUGGAAGUCUGAUGAUAUUUUUUAUCUCAUUAUAAGGAAGAAAAACAUUUGGAUGGGAAGAGAGUAUGCAAACACUGGGUUCCAAGCACAAUGUCUAAAUUUUUUUUAUUGUUUGCCAAUAACGAUUGCGAGUAAGUUCAGUGGUGGAAAAGAAACAGAUACUACAACCUGUGAGGAAAAGUACAGAACGGUGCAUGCAGUGCUUUUCGGUGAUCUUGAAUAAUAGAAUUGUUGCUUCACGUGAAGUCAUACCGAGGAUAUUUAACUAUAGAGCAGCAUGUCUCACGGUGGGUUCGUGAGAGAACCCAGAGAAGUUCGAGAAGGAAGCCAAGACUAGUAAAAACUGACCAUUUCAGAGCAUCGAUUAUCUGCAAAGCUCCAUGGUGGUUGCUGUUCUUUAUUUUAUUUCAUGUAAAUUACACCACACUCAUCAGAAGAGGUAGUGCCUCCUGUCUCGUACAGAAACCUACAUCAAGUGUGUCCUUGAUUUGAACUUGUCUUCUCUCAUUAAUGUUUCCAUUGAUAGAGUCGCACUUGGGCCCAGGUAGCAUAUGAAAAACUUAGGAUUUCAAACCAAAUCAGGCUUUUGGACCUGCCCUAAAUAGCUGUGGUGACUAAUGCUCUUAAAUCCCAUGUUCUUUCCUCGAUACCAGUAAUUCUUAAUCUUUGGUAUACAUUAGAAUUAAUCUCAGGGAAGGAGGCAGUUGGUUAAAAUGCAAACGCUGUGGCCCCCUCCCCGCUUCAGAGAUCUCCAUUUGGCAGAUCUGGGCUGGAUUCCAGUCAUCUGUAUUUUAAACUCUCCUCCCAGAUGACUCUGUGGCCCCGGUAACGUUAAGGAACACAGCUUUUACACCUGUCUGAGUUAUUGAUGUGCACGUCUGCCUUCCUAACUGGACAAGAGGGGGUCUGGUUGAGCGGGCACUGGCCCUUUCUUGUUUUGGGGUUUUGUUUGGUAUAUGAUGGGUGUUCGAAAGUAUUUAGUAGAUUAAUAUUUAAAAAGCGAAGAGACCUCUUGUCGGGUUGAAGCAUAGAAUAUGAGCCAAAACAGAGUUUGUAACAGCACGAACGAGAGGCGAAGGGUCUGUGCCAAGGGAGAAAUCCCCACGAAUGUCUCAUGACCUGUUCUGCUUACCUCCCUAGUACCCCCACCCCUAGCAUAAGUUACCCGGGAGUGAGGCUGGGGUCUGCUGUCGGCUCCUGCAUGCCCAGUGCAUACAACGGUCCCUGGCACACAAUGAAGGGAAUGAAAAAAGAAUUAUGUGAUGGCCUGAGUCACAGCAGGAAGGAGUGAGAGUGGAGGGGAUACAGGCUAGUCUUGAGUAUUGCAGGGCUCAGGGGGCAAAACGCUAAGUUACUCCAACACUUAAUUAGCUAUUUUUAUUAAGUGUCCAAGCCUCCUUCAGUUCAUGCGUGUUUUGCUCCUUUUAUCUCAAGAAAGAUGGCAGAAGUUUGUGUCUUUUGGCUUUGAUCACAUUAUUUCUGGGUUUUGUUACUUAAUAAGGCAGAAGUUUAAAUUAACAUCAUUCUCCGUUGCCUGCUUCUGGGUUAGCUGUACAGUAGGGAGCGUUUUUGGCAAUUUUUCAGUGGAGGAAAGAAAAGGAAACCUCUGUUUGGGAACUGUGGGGAGGAAGGAGGGAAAGCCAUUUACCUGAGCCCCUGGGGUUCCAUCUGCUUCCCAGAAAAGAUUUGCCAUGAAAUCAAGUCACCUGACCCUUGUGGGGGCUACAUUCCGGGGGCAGGUAGAAGGGGGACUGGGCCAAAUCCAGCCUCCAGUCAUCACGGGGGCAAAAAGGGAGGUUCGAAGGUGAAUUCACAGUCACAUCUGUGUUCAGGGCCCUCUCGUGCCUUACAGUGUGGUCAAACAUGCUGUCCGACUGAGCAAAAGCCACCUCUACAGGUCCUCCUUACCAUGUGACUUUGCCCGGGCUCUGAUUCGAGGUCCAUGCCAACGAGAUGUGCAUUUCUUUAUUUUUCCCCUGUCCAUUCCCUCACCAUAAGGAUAGCUUGGUGGUUUUCAGGGCCCGGUAACCCUUGCUGGCUGCACAUUUGGAUCCCUUGAGCCAAAGGUUUGUGGCUGUAUUAAUUGGCCUCAAAGAAAACCUUGCCUUCACUCAAACUGUUUGAAUACCUCUUGUUGAAUCAUAGGCUUGACUCAAGUGUUAUUAAUUCAAGAAUCAGAAUGCCUUUUGUCCAUAUCAGUUAAACGUUGCCAUAGCAAGUGUAGUGUAAACAGAUCUGCUCAAGGCACAACAACCUAUAGAAGCCCACAGACAAAGGAGGACCAGUCUCGCCUUCACAGAAACCCUGGUGCUGCAGUAAAUGUUACCCACUAGCCUGGGGUACUGCCACAUGAGCCAUUGUGCUGAUGAAUGGGCCCUGGGACCCACCGAUCCAGGGAGAAGCCUUUAUCAGUGACUACAUGUUACCACAUGGGAAGCCAGGAUUCUGCGGAAUCCGCUGAAUGGCUACUCGUCAUUGGACACUUUGGCAAUCAAAAGAAUGCAGCCUAGACCUGAGAUCCAGAGCCUGAACCCCAUGAAGAGGGUCACAGGGACAUUUCUUAACGACAUUUAGUUCCUUGCCCCUCCGUCUCAACGUUUCCAUCCGAAAAAUGGGAACUUGUUCCUGCUCAGCACUUCGUAAAUGAAUGCAGGGCAUAGCAUGCCAUUUAUCCAUUCGUGGAGGAGAUGUUCUAUUACAGCAGAGGCAUUUUGCUUUCUUAAACUUGAUUUGGGGGAGGGGAUAUUUAUAUGUAAUCAUUGUAAUGGCAUUUUGAUACUCUCCGGGAAAAAGAAAGUAGUUGAGUGUGGUGUCUAUAUGGAAGUGAAAUACCUCGGUUAUGAUUCCUUUUAUUUUUUUAAUCAAUAAACUAGAGGGAAAGGGAAAUGGAGCUUUAUUUGGUUACUGAAAUUCCUAAUUAAGUUCUUAAUGGCAGAAACAUCUCACGAUGUUCCAAAGUUUCAUUUGGCACAGAGGCAAGUCACUUAGACUCUUUUUUAAACAUCAGGUCAAGAUAUUGGGUUGGACACCUCAGGAAAACAAACUUCCUUAUGAGAGCUCAAAGGUGGAAAAACGUGGAGAGAAGGCCGUCCCUGUGGAAUUCUGAUACAGGCAUUUCCUAUGGGAGCUGAGGUUUGUGAGAAAAUUGACGUUAGCAAGUUCUGGCAGUUAAGCCGCCGAAAAACAGCGGACUGAAGCCACGUCGUGCUUUUUAAAACAUUAAAAGAGGGGUUUGAUGCACGGGUAAACUUCCUCGGUUAUCCUAUGAUUUAUCAAAUGCUGGAAGUCGGAGAAAUCGUUCUGAUUUCUGUGCCUCCGUAGGGUACCAUAAUUUAAUCUAGUUGGUGGCACCAGACGCUGGUAACCACAGCCAGCCAUCAUGGGCAGGGGCUCCAAACAUAUGGCCUGUGCAUUGCCUCUCCAUCUUCUUCCCUCCAUGAAUUAUUUUUAUAUUGGAUGCCAACCUAGAAAAUGCAUGAAUCUUGAUGCACACUGCCAGCCUGUUACCAGCCAGCCCUCCUCCCUCCCCUCCCCCCACCAGAUCAUUGAUCCCUUUACCCUCACAGGCCGGAGUCUCAUGCUGAGCACCAAGCCAGGCGGCACACGAAGUGUGGGCCGGUGGCACCAGGGGACCGUCCUUUCUGCCUCUGACACCCACCGCCCCGGCGCGCCCUGGAUCUCGCCAGCCAUUGUGCUCGGUUUUUCCAAGGCAGCUCUCCGCUGGGCUGCUGUUAGUCACACAGUGACCUGCGGAUCUAAGGGAAAAAACAGAUGUCCCAAUAAAUUUUUGUCAAAACGUAAUUACCUCGGGAUUAGAAAACCACAUGGGGGCGGGGAGGGAAAGGAACAGAUGUAUUACUUUCAAAUAUGCAAUCAUUAUUCUGCAGAAGUUUAAAUAAUCAAGAGCUUUAAAUGAUGCCAGUUGAGAGUGUCCCCGCUCCACUUACUUUUGUCCCCUCCUUUACCUUCAGCCCUGGGCAGCUUGGGAGUCUCUCCUAUUUGCUUUGAGCUAAUGGUGCUCCGAGCAGGAGGGAGCGUGUUGCACAAAGUAUCAUCCUGAGUGCUUUUUCAUAAAUAAAUCUCAGCAAAUAUGACAGGCUAUCUUUCCCCCAGGAACCUGGCCAAGUCUUUUCUUCCUCUCCAGCCGACAAAAUAUGAUAAACUAUGAAUUUUCCCAGUAACCAUAAAAGAUUCUGAGUUCCAUGAUUUGAACUGUUAAGGUGCAGGUCAAGGCAGUAUAUCUAAUAGGAAUUCUUGCGGGGAAAAUCCUUUUUCUGUUUUCAGUUUUCAUGUUUGGUCGAGUGGGAGGGUGUGCCGGGUACCGAUCGAAGAUUCAUUGGGUUAUUUGUUAGCUGGUUGUCAUGGGCCCCUUAAGGUGAGAUGUUAAUCUCUUUUAAGUAUGCGUCCAUAGGCUUCAAGGAGGGAUCCAGUGGAUGAGACACAUGAGGCCCCAAAUGGACUAAAUUCAAGGAGUUGUUGUUGCUUCGGGUCGGUUCAUGGAUUGCACCCCCUUUCGGUGGAAAUGAAUGGGUCUACAGUCCGUCCUCAAAACAACUGUACGUGGCACAGGGGCCAAGCAGCUCUUCUGCACUCUUGGAUUAUGAAAAUUCUAGCUAUGAUUUUAGGGCUUUUAUCUUGAUAGAAAAAAUGGUUUUUACCUGUGACAUGGAAGUUGGUGUUCAGAAGAGUUACCAAUUAUCCAGAGUCUGCUAACAGCAGAGGUGCUGCUAAGUCCUUUACAUGUGAACUCCUGAUCUCUCAGAGGUCUCGUAAAGGAGGCACUGUCACUCCACUUUAGAGAUGGGGUAACUGGGGCGCAAAGAGGUUAAAUACCUUGCCCUAUUCCCGAAAGCUGGUAAAUGACAGAACCCAAAUUUGAAUCGAUGUCUAAAUGUAUACAAAGACUUCAUUGAUCCAUUGUCUUGUUAUGCCUUGGGAGAAUCUUCAUCUUGCAUACGACAUAACUAAAUAUGCUCUGAGAAUGGAAAUCAUAAACCAAAGAACAGCUCGUGUUACGCCGUCCUGGCCAUGAUAUAUACAUUUUCUGCAAGAAGGAGUCAUUUGUAAUUGAGCCGCUAUACUUCCCUUUGCUGAAAGGUAAGCUGAUUGUAAGUUAGGCUCUUUGUAUCUUGCGAUUUUAGCCCAUUACAAUUGGCCCAAAGCUAACCACACAUAUCUGGACAUGAAAGAGUUAAAAAGAAAAUCCCCAGCAAGCCAGUAUGCAGAGAAGUGUUGAUUCCAGCUGCUUCAGGGGGUAUCUGCUAGAGGGAGUCAGUCAGGAAACAACCACAGGAAAAGGAAUUUUGCAAGAUGGGGGUGUCUUCCUGUUAGCCAUCAGCCUGAAAGGAGUCUUUUCCUACCUAAAUCCAGAGAGGUUUAUAAAACUCCACACUCCGCGCGGCAGCACGGAGAAAGGGACAUUUUGCGGGGAGAACUGAAAGGGCACUUUUGCCCUGGAAGAAGCGACUCCUUUGGAGAAUCUGACAUGAUGUGGAUUUGUAAAGCAGCAAAUAGAGGAGGCCACAGCAGUUGCAGUUGGGGAGGUUCAGAAGGCUGAAGUCGGUUCCUAGCCCUUAUUUCGAGGAAGGAUGAGUCCAACAUGAGACUUUGAUACAGGCAAAGUUGUUCAAAGGGCGAUGUACAACUGUCAACAUGAGAAAAGGAGAAAGCCUUGGCCAGGUCUGGGACAAAGGCUUUCUGCCCACUGACAAAGACUCUCCUGGAUCAGACUGAGCCCUUUUUUUGACUAGGCCUUGACAUUGGGUUCUGUCCUCGUUCUGGUUUAGUCCAGUCAUAGGAAGAAUCCUGCUGAGUCUGUUAACGAUAAAUCCCCUACCCUUGAUAUGUGGUGGUCACCCUUUUCCUGAUGAAAUUCUUCACUACCACCCACGCUGGCUAUCUUAUCAACAGUCCUGUUGAAUUGGUUGUGCAAGAAUCCCCAGCCUCAAU